rnacentral:rRNA from 1 species
GUGAGUAGUUCAGAGUUUGAUCCUGGCUCAGGAUGAACGCUGGCGGCGUGCUUAACACAUGCAAGUCGAACGGAGCUUAUUUGAUAGAGACUUCGGUCAAUUGAUUUUAAGCUUAGUGGCGGACGGGUGAGUAACGCGUGAGGAACCUGCCUUGGAGUGGGGAAUAACACAGUGAAAAUUGUGCUAAUACCGCAUAAUGCAGUUGAGUCGCAUGGCUCUGACUGCCAAAGAUUUAUCGCUCUAAGAUGGCCUCGCGUCUGAUUAGCUAGUUGGUAGGGUAACGGCCUACCAAGGCGACGAUCAGUAGCCGGUCUGAGAGGAUGAACGGCCACAUUGGGACUGAGAUACGGCCCAG